CCGAGUUCAUGCCCUCACGGGUAGAUCUCCCACCCUUGUGUAUUUUCAUGUUUGUGUUGCUUUGGCAGGCCGUGGGCCGCGCCCACCACCGGCUCUCGGGCUGGUGCGUGCCUGCCAGAGGACCCCUUUAAACUCUGUUUGUCAGUGUCGUCUGAGUAUGAUAACCAAUCGUUA
rnacentral:misc_RNA from 1 species